CCUGCGCGCAGGUCGGCGGGCCAGCAGAGGCGAAGGAGCAGCCCCGUUUGGUGGCGCGCCCUGUCGCGGGAAACCUCUGCCCUCCGCGGUGCCGGUGCGAUCUUUUUUUUUUUCUGAGCCCCGAGUUAAAACCACGCGCGACGCGGUUCACGUGGGCGUUGGAAAUCACAGCCCAGCGCCCGCGUGUCUGUUGGAAAGGUAAAUCUUUAUUUCUUUUGUUUCUUCCAGGUUGAUUCCAGCAACGCGCUGUCUGAAAGAUGCUGCAAGGAGCUAAUAGUAACAAGUAGCUCUGUACCUUUCUGGACAGUCUGCUUUCUGGAUCCUUACGAGACCCCCGGUACUUGAUGACAAGGCUGGCUCUCUGUACGUUUAAACUAAAGAGGAAAGAAGUGGGAAAGCUCAGCAGGAGGAAAAGAGAAUGGGGCACUCCUCCAUCCUUUCCAAAUCCCAGACAAAUUUACAGUAUGGCCUUAUGCAAACUGUACCUUCUCCAGAGGCCAGAGAUGUGGAUGAGAAUCCUGUGGGGAUUAGCCCAGGCUGCCCCGUUCUGGUUUUGUGCCCUCCACCAAAAGACAGUAGAUAAAACAGCAGUGACGCUUGCUUCAUCCAUGCUUUGAAUCAGCUGUCAGAGUUGUGUAGGAGCUGAUCUGUUAAAUGUGCUAUCUGCUAAAUGUGCAAACACUUGCCAGAUUAAGCCCCUUCAAGAGGUGCAGAUAGAAUAAACCAGUGUUUGUGGAUCUUUAAUCA
rnacentral:lncRNA from 1 species